rnacentral:antisense_RNA from 1 species
GAGCACGACAUUGCUCACAUUGCUUCCAGUAUUGUUGCCCGCCUUUUGGCGGGCUUUUUUU